rnacentral:rRNA from 1 species
GACGAACGCUGGCGGCGUGCUUAACACAUGCAAGUCGAACGGAAAGGCCCUGCUUUUGUUGGUCUCUCGUUUGCGGAGCGGGUGGGAAUAACACGUGUAUCCUCCCCUUAUCUUAGGGUUAACUCUAGGAAACGGGGGCUCUAACCGCUUAUAAUCUCUUGCUCCUCGUUGGGGGUUGGAAAAUUUCGGUGGUUGGGGCUGGACUCGCGGCUUAUCCGCUGGUUGGGGGGGUAGUGGCUUACCAAGGGUUUGACGGGUAGCCGGCCUGAGAGGGUGACCGGCCACAUUGGGACUGAGAUACGGCCCAGACUCCUACGGGAGGCAGCAGUGGGGAAUAUUGCACAAUGGGCGGAAGCCUGAUGCAGCAACGCCGGGUGCGGGAUGACGGCCUUCGGGUUGUAAACCGCUUUCGCCUGUGACGAAGCGUGAGUGACGGUAAUGGGUAAAGAAGCACCGGCUAACUACGUG